GCGCUGGUGGACGACACGGAGGACGUGUCCCUGGAUUUUGGCACGGAGGAGGAGGAGGAGCUGGCACUGAGGAAGAACAGGAUCAGGGGCAAUGUGCAGAGGGCAUUUAAACAAUGAACCUGCACGUCUUUGGGAUGUGGGAGGAAACUGAAGGACAUGGAGGAAACCCACGCAGUCACAGGAAGAAUAAGCAAACUCUACAGAGAGCACCCAAGGUCAGGAUCGAAACCCCGAUCUUUGGAGCUGUGAGGCAGCAGCUGUACCAGCUACAGAGAAAGUGCAGGCAUCCACUGGCUACAUUUUUUCAUCUCUUUUUUCGUGUAAGUGCCAUCAUUGCUUACCUCUUCUGUGACUGGUUUAGCAGAAGCUUUGUUGCCUGCUUUGUGACAAUACUCAUCCUCUUGUCCUGCGAUUUCUGGUCAGUAAAGAAUGUAACGGGAAGGCUUUUGGUUGGCUUGCGUUGGUGGAAUCAGAUUGAUGAAGAUGGAAAAAGCCAUUGGCUUUUUGAAGCUAGAAAGACUACUGCAAAGAAUAGAGCUACCUCUAUUGAAGCAGAGGCUCAGAUUUUCUGGCUUGGGCUAAUUGUCUGUCCCCUAAUUUGGACAGUCUUUCUUUUCAGUACUUUGUUUUCCCUGAAACUUAAGUGGCUGGCCUUGGUAAUAGCAGGGCUUUCCUUGCAAGCAGCUAAUCUGUAUGGGUAUAUCCGCUGCAAGCUUGGAGGCAGCAAGAACAUCACAAGAGCAGCUUCAACGUAUCUAGGUCAACAACUCUUUCAGAGGUCGGACAUCGUAUUUGGAGAGCUGUAAACUACAGGUAUGCAGCAGAUAGCGUUCAUAUCACCCUCUCCCAGUGUCGUAAAUUGAGAAAAAUAAGGCAUCGUGGAACACCGAAUGUGGGAAAAGAAAAUAAUUCAGUUAAGUUUUGUUGGUGCUGAAGAAUUAAGUAUUGUACCAACAAAGUGGAUUUAUUUCUAAGCAGUUGCAAUUGCAUUUGAGUAAAGAUGUCAGUUGAAGAUGGUUUAUUUAUGUUGUAAAUUUUAGAAAAUAUUUUGUUCUGAAAGUACAGUGCCUUGCUUACAGUUGAAGUUAACUUCAGUAAUAAAUUAUUACUUUACAUGAUUGUUAUUGUCUGAUCUUAAAUAAUUCAAUCUUGUCAUGCACUCUUGAACACAAUAUACUUUUGCACUCAAAGAUAUUGUGGUUUUACAGGUCACCAUUUUUUUCAGGCUGUGGUCCAGACUUCUGUUAUUUUGGUGAAGAAACAAAAAAAAUCUACAAUUCCCUUUUCCAUUGUUAGUUGGGGUAAAUUGGAAGGACCUUGUGUCCUUAUACCCGCCUGUUUCAUACACAUCAAUUAUCUUUACAAAUACAAAAACUUAAACACCCAAUCACCACUUUAGUUCAAAUAAAUUAGUUGAAAUUAUGGGCAAGAAAGGUAAGAUGAUUUCCAAAAUCUUGAACCUUUGGCAAAACUGUCACCUGUAUUAUUUGCUGAUCAUUUGAAAACAAAUGCUCCUGCCCAGCAAUGGUCCAGGUUUUCAUUAUUGUGGAGGUGGCUGGUGCUGAGAGAACAUGUUUUUUGCAGUAUAAACUGAUGUUCAGUCAAAGACUGUGAUACCACACUGCAACAGAAAACAUUUAAGUUUAUGUGUUCCAAUUAAAUAGCAUCUAUUGUCGGGCUUUAUUUUCUUCAAACCAAACCCA